rnacentral:tRNA from 1 species
GCUUGUCUAGCUCAGUCGGUAGAGCGCAAGGCUCUUAACCUUGAGAUCCUGGGUCAAACU